rnacentral:rRNA from 1 species
CACGUAGGGCGCAAGCGUUGUCCGGAAUUAUUGGGCGUAAAGAGCUCGUAGGUGGUCUGCUACGUCUGCUGUGAAAAUCCAGGGCUUAACCCUGGACUUGCAGUGGAUACGGGCAGACUAGAGGUAGGUAGGGGAGAAUGGAAUUCCCGGUGUAGCGGUGAAAUGCGCAGAUAUCGGGAGGAACACCGGUGGCGAAGGCGGUUCUCUGGGCCUUACCUGACACUGAGGAGCGAAAGCGUGGGGAGCGAACAGG